CCUACGGGUGGCAGCAGUGAGGAAUAUUGGUCAAUGGACGAGAGUCUGAACCAGCCAAGUAGCGUGAAGGAUGACUGCCCUAUGGGUUGUAAACUUCUUUUAUAUGGGAAUAAAAUGUUCCACGUGUGGGAUUUUGUAUGUACCAUAUGAAUAAGGAUCGGCUAACUCCGUGCCAGCAGCCGCGGUAAUACGGAGGAUCCGAGCGUUAUCCGGAUUUAUUGGGUUUAAAGGGAGCGUAGGUGGAUUGUUAAGUCAGUUGUGAAAGUUUGCGGCUCAACCGUAAAAUUGCAGUUGAAACUGGCAGUCUUGAGGACAGUAGAGGUGGGCGGAAUUCGUGGUGUAGCGGUGAAAUGCGUAGAUAUCACGAAGAACUCCGAUUGCGAAGGCAGUUCACUGGACUGCAACUGACACUGAGGCUCGAAAGUGUGGGUAUCAAACAGGAUUAGAUACCCUAGUAGUC
rnacentral:rRNA from 1 species